rnacentral:tRNA from 1 species
GCGCCCACUGGCCGACGGCGGCGGCGUGCCGUCGUUCGCGGCGGCGGCACGCGGCCCUGGCCCGUUCGGCCGCGGCCUCGGCGUC